CUGCUGGCCAAGAGCUGGAGCUCGCUGCUGGAGGGCCAGGCGGGCGCCCGCCGCGCGCCCAUCUACACCUUCGACGGCCGCGACGUGCUCAGCCACCCGCUCUGGCCCCGCCGGCUGGCCUGGCACGGCUCCACCCCGCGCGGCGGCCCGGCCCGCGGCCACCACUGUCACGGCUGGCGGCGUGCCGGCCCGGCCGAGGGGCUGGCGGCCCCGCUGGGCCGUGGCGGGCUCCUCCUCGACGGGCGGCUGCACAACUGCUCCGAGUUCCUGGCCGUGCUGUGCGUGGAGGUGGCCUUCCCCUACCGGCACAUGUGGUGAGGGCCCCGCCGGACGCCUGGGCCCACUGCCCCGCUCCCGGCGUCCCCACGUCCGGCUGUCCCCCGAUCCGGCCCUCGCGGCGCCACCGGCACUGUGGGGGCCCUGGAAAUAAACUGGAGAGAAAGUC